UAUGGUGCUUUAACUGACUAUCAGGUGCACAAUUACUGUACUUUAUUCAUUGAUUGUGAAUCUUUUGAUAGAUUUUUUUAUACAAUUAAUUUUAUCUUAAUAGUGUCUUUCAUCUAUGUGGUGUAAUUCUUGUGAUCUAGUUUGUUCAUUGACAGGAGAGUUGCUAUGACAUCAUUUCUGGCACAGAAAUUGAUAUAGCAAAAUAUAGUGAUGCAUAUUUGGGCUUUUUCUUUUCGUGUAUAAUAUAGCUAUGUAUGUAGAGGCUUACUAACAAAUCUCCAUCGUUUUAAUAUGUGAGCUUCUGCGACAUCAUAGUCCAAACACAGCACAAAAGCAAAUGUUGGACCAGUAUUUAGAAAUUGAUCAGAAUUCUUUUUUUCUCCCUAUUUUGGCGUAUCAGUAGUCUGUAUUCUCUCUCCGAGUCAUCCACCAAAGAUAAACCCAACCUUGAAAGGUGUUGAGUUCAAGUCCAAAUAUUCUCAAGUCAAAUUUGAAUAAUUUGCAAUUCAAGUUGAAGUUGCUGAAUCAAUUAUGUUUGUGAUUUCACAUCAAGCAUUCUCUUGUCCUCCUCCAUUGAACUUGAUCUUUCCCAUGACUUUUGCCCUAGUGAGUAAUGUCACUAGAUAGGGCAAGUAGAUUUUAACGGAUUGAUUUCUUUGGCAUAGUUGUUGGAGUUACUGUUGAGAAAAUCGCCUCCUGAAACGUAUUAGUUAGAGUGUAUUAAAUUAGUUUAAAAUUAAAUUUGACAUGUUUAAGUCAUAAGAAUACCAAAACAACUAAACGGUUUUUCUCAACAGCAGUUAGAAUGAUGCUUUUUCAAAAAAUGCUUUUUUUAACCACCCAACUGCAACCCCAAACAGAUACGUGUCAUGGGACUAGGAGUUUCUUUGAUUAAUUCUAGUGGCAAUAUUCCUCAAGUAUUAGCUGUGUGAUUUUUCCUCCUUUAUAUAACCCAAGCCAUUAAUUUUUUGUGCAGUUCAUGCGAGCACGUGCCCGU
rnacentral:misc_RNA from 1 species